UUUAAUUGAUGACUUGUAUGAAGGAUUGGAUGAGAUAUAAUCUGUCUCUUAGUUAAUAGGUAGAAUUUAAUUUUUUAAUUAAAAAGUUAAAAUAAUUUAAAAAGACGAGAAGACCCUAUAGAGUUUUAUAGAUAAAUUAAUUAAGAUUAUUUAAAAAAUUUAAAAUUAAAAUUAAAUUAUUUAUUUUAUUGGGGUGAUAGAAAAAUAUAUUUAACUUUUUUUUUAAUUUAACAUUUAUAGGUGGUUAGAUGAUCCAAUAUUAUUGAUUAUAAGAAAUAAUUACCUUAGGGAUAACAGCGUAAUUUUUUUUUUUAGUUCA
rnacentral:rRNA from 2 species